UACGUAGGGGGCGAGCGUUGUCCGAAGUUACUGGGCGUAAAGCGCGCGUAGGCGGGGGAUUAAGUGAGAGGUGAAAGGCUGAGGCUCAACCUCAUGCAGUGCCUCUCAUACUGGUCUUCUUGAGGGCGGUAGGGAGAAGUGGAAUGGCUGGUGUAGCGGUGAAAUGCGUAGAUAUGACAUAGAACACCAAUUGCGCAGGCAGCUUACUACACAGUAAUUGACACUGAGGCACGAAAGCGUGGGGAUCAAACAGG
rnacentral:rRNA from 1 species